AAGCAAUGUCUUUUGGGGCUACAGAAGAUAUUGCAUUCUUGAUCACUUGCGAUGUGAUGGCAAAGCGGCCGAUGUAACAGGCAGAGGCCGGAAGAGCAUGCAUUGCAGAGGCAGGUGCUAAGAUGCCCAGUGUGAAUCUGGUACUUGCAAAGGUAGAAGCUGUUGCAUGUGAGCUAAGCCUGAAAGGGAUUAAAAGCAAUGCAUUGGCAGCAGAUGUAAGCAAACCUGAAGUUGUGCAAAGGAUAGCUGAGGCCGUGGUAGCUCGGUGGGGCACAAUUCAUAUCGUGUGUAACAGUGCUGGGCUCAAUGUGAAUUUUGCAAGUGAAGGGACUCCAUUAGAAGAACAAGACGAAACUUUUAAUGUUACCUUAUGAGGCUUGGUUUUAUGCUGCCAAGCUGCAGGCCGCAUUAUGCUGAAUCAAGGAUAUGGGAAGAUAAUUAACACAGCAUCUAUGGCAAGUUUAAUAGGGCAAUUGUAGACAUGGCGUGCGUCCACACUGAAGAUCUGAAGCCUCUUCGGAGGUGGUGCCUUGCUGAUAUUCCUGCUGGAAAGCUGGCUCAAGCAGUGGAUCUGCAGGCUGCCGUAAUGUGCUUGGCCUCCAAAGUUCCAGAUGACAUGACAGACCAUAAUUUGGCCUUUGUUGGUGGUCAGAGCUUGUGGUAGGAAGGAGCAAAGAACUUCCCUGCUUUGUGGCAUUUUCCAAACCUGAAAAUGAGGUCUGUAAGCAGCCAGAAAAGACCCUUCGUUCCAACUGAACUUUGCAAGGCUUUAUCCUGAUGUGACCUGACUGGCUCCUGCCCCCGCUCCCUUGUUUAUCAUCUGUGCUGGUGGCAAUGCUACAUGGAGAAUCCUUGA